rnacentral:piRNA from 1 species
UAUCGAGUUUCCUAUUUGAAAGUGUGUC